rnacentral:lncRNA from 1 species
CUUUGCUCUCCUGGAGGAUGGCGCCCCCUUGAGGUUCACCUUAGUGGAGCAGCCACCAGGGAAGUCCUUUGAAGAAGCUGGCUUAGGUCCCACCCAGACAAGAGGGUAAAUAAUCUGGGCUUUGGGCCCUGUUCUAUUUCUGUGCAGUGAGAGUGGGUGGAUGGGCACGUGGAGGGGGAUGAGUCAGAUCCGAGAUGGCUGCCCCUCCUCCUGUCCCUUCCUGGACUGGCAACUGCCUCACCCACUUCCUCCCUCUCCUCAGUUCUAUUCAUCCUGGAGGAUUCCCAUCCUCUGUCCUUGGAGAGAUUCCUGCAGGUGAUGCAACCAGGGGAAGCCACUGGAUCCCCUCCCUGGGUCAACUGUGCAAUCCAUACACUCCAGCCGGCCACCCCCUCAGGGCCACCUGGUGCACACCUCUUUCUGAGACCUUGGUAUAGAGCCCAGUCCUGUCCUCUCCGACUUGCAUCUAUGUCUCAAGGGAUCCCAUUCCCCAGGCCUCCCACCCACAGGCAUGAGCUCUCUUGUCAAUGGACUGGUUAGAUGUACAGCUGAAGCACAGGCCACUCGAAUGAGGGCACUAAGAACAGAGGAGUGAGGCAGUGGCGGUGUCCCCAAAGAGCAGCACCGAGGGCCAUCCUCCAUGCCUAACAGGGAAAGGGGACAGGGCUGGUAGUGCAGGAGCCCGGGAGACGUGGCUGAAAGCAGAAGAAAGCCACCGCUGCUCAAACUGUGACUCGGAAGCCAGGGAGUGAGACACUGGACACCCUGGGUGGUUCUCUCCAGCUGCCACCUGGCUCCUUCCAGUGCAUCUCAGUGGAUGACCCCAGGCUGAGCAAGGGUGCUCUUGUCCACAGAUGCCAGACGCCUGUGGCUCAGAGCUGGCCCAGAAUGGUGGAGACAGAGUGGGGGGGAAUGAACAGAACUACCCACCCCUGACUGUGUGGACUAGGAGGCAUCGGGUGCCGGGAGGACACAGGUGAAUAAGGCAAUGGUCUCUGAUCUCUGGGAGCCUCUGGGCUCCUGAAGGUAGGACAGCAAGAGGUAGCUGCUCAGAACCCCAGAAAGAAAUGAAUGUUUUGUGUCUUUGUUGAAGAGUGAAGGUGAUCAGAGUCUGUGGUGACCUCCCACGGUUCCUGCCAUUGUCCAGUCCCCUCCUUUGGAGUGUGGGUGAGAUCUGGGACUUGCUUCUAACCCACAGCAAGUCCCAGGGUGUGGCAGAGGACUGGACGGCUCACCCUUGAGUAGGUCGCCUCCUAUGAGACUCCACAGCAGAUCGUAGGAGUCUUUUUAAAAAAAAUUUUUAUUAGUUGUUGAUGGACCUUUAUUU